rnacentral:rRNA from 1 species
CGGGAAAAGCUCAAAUUUAAAAUCUGGUGGCCUUUGGCCAUCCGAGUUGUAAUUUAGAGAAGCGUCUUCCGCGCUGGACCGUGCACAAGUCUCCUGGAAUGGAGCGUCAUAGAGGGUGAGAAUCCCGUC